rnacentral:rRNA from 1 species
GAUGAACGCUGGCGGCGUGCUUAACACAUGCAAGUCGAACGGGAAACCUUUUAUUGAGGCUUCGGCAGAUUUAGCUGGUUUCUAGUGGCGGACGGGUGAGUAACGCGUGGGUAACCUGCCUUAUACAGGGGGAUAACAACCAGAAAUGGUUGCUAAUACCGCAUAAGCGCACAGGACCGCAUGGUCCGGUGUGAAAAACUCCGGUGGUAUAAGAUGGACCCGCGUUGGAUUAGCUAGUUGGCAGGGUAACGGCCUACCAAGGCGACGAUCCAUAGCCGGCCUGAGAGGGUGAACGGCCACAUUGGGACUGAGACACGGCACAGACUCCUACGGGAGGCAGCAGUGGGGAAUAUUGCACAAUGGGGGAAACCCUGAUGCAGCGACGCCGCGUGAAGGAAGAAGUAUCUCGGUAUGUAAACUUCUAUCAGCAGGGAAGAUAGUGACGGUACCUGACUAAGAAGCCCCGGCUAACUACGUG